CGAAAGCCUGACGGAGCAAUACCGCGUGAGGGAGGAAGGCUCUUGGGUUGUAAACCUCUUUUCUCAGGGAAGAAAAAAAUGACGGUACCUGAGGAAUAAGCAUCGGCUAACUCCGUGCCAGCAGCCGCGGUAAUACGGAGGAUGCAAGCGUUAUCCGGAAUGAUUGGGCGUAAAGCGUCCGCAGGUGGCUGUGUAAGUCUGCUGUUAAAGAGUCUAGCUCAACUAGAUAAGAGCAGUGGAAACUACAUGGCUAGAGUGCGUUCGGGGCAGAGGGAAUUCCUGGUGUAGCGGUGAAAUGCGUAGAGAUCAGGAAGAACACCGGUGGCGAAAGCGCUCUGCUAGGCCGCAACUGACACUGAGGGACGAAAGCUAGGGGAGCGAAUGGGAUUAGAUACCCCAGUAGUCCUAGCCGUAAACGAUGGAUACUAGGCGUGGCUUGUAUCGACCCGAGCCGUGCCGUAGCUAACGCGUUAAGUAUCCCGCCUGGGGAGUACGCCGGCAACGGUGAAACUCAAAGGAAUUGACGGGGGCCCGCACAAGCGGUGGAGUAUGUGGUUUAAUUCGAUGCAACGCGAAGAACCUUACCAAGACUUGACAUGUCGCGAAACCCUGUGAAAGUAGGGAGUGCCUUCGGGAGCGCGAACACAGGUGGUGCAUGGCUGUCGUCAGCUCGUGUCGUGAGAUGUUGGGUUAAGUCCCGCAACGAGCGCAACCCUCGUUUUUAGUUGCCAGCAUUAAGUUGGGCACUCUAGAGAGACUGCCGGUGACAAACCGGAGGAAGGUGGGGAUGACGUCAAGUCAGCAUGCCCCUUACGUCUUGGGCUACACACGUACUACAAUGCUACGGACAAAGGGCAGCUACACAGCGAUGUGAUGCAAAUCUCAUAAACCGUAGCUCAGUUCAGAUCGCAGGCUGCAACUCGCCUGCGUGAAGUCGGAAUCGCUAGUAAUUGCAGGUCAGCAUACUGCAGUGAAUUCGUUCCCGGGCCUUGUACACACCGCCCGUCACACCAUGGAAGCUGGUAGUGCCCGAAGUCAUUACUCCAACCUUUAUUGGGGGAGGAUGCCUAAGGCAGGACUGGUGACUGGGGUGAAGUCGUAACAAGGUAGCCGUACCGGAAGGUGUGGCUGGAUCACCUCCUUUUAGGGAGACCUCAUCCACUCAAAUAUCGAUUGCACAAAGCAAAUAGAUACUGAGAUGGUCUAUCCUAGGUCGGUCGAGAUUAGUUAAAAGCUUUCAAAGUGUUGUUUGUUCGGUCUAAAAAAUGAGUGCAAAGAUGUUUAAGGUGAAUUCAGCAAUAUGACAUGAAGUCAGACUGCUGGAUGAGACCAGCCAGAACCUUGAAAACUGCAUAGUAACGCGAAAAAAGCAGGCAGACACAGACGAAAAAUGGAAGUGUUUGCAGAUGUAGAGUGGUCAAGCUAAUAAGGGCUGACGGU
rnacentral:rRNA from 1 species